ACGGAAGGCAGCAGUGGGGAAUAUUGCACAAUGGGGGAAACUCUGAUGCAGCAACGCCGCGUGAGGGAAGAAGGUCUUCGGAUUGUAAACCUAAGUUGUCGGGGACGAAACAUGACGGUACCUGAAGAGAAAGCUCCGGCUAACUACGUGCCAGCAGCCGCGGUGAUACGUAGGGAGCGAGCGUUGUCCGGAUUUACUGGGUGUAAAGGGUGCGUAGGCGGGUCUGCAAGUCAGGCGUGAAAUCCCACGGCUUAACUGUGGGGCUGCGCUUGAAACUGUAGAUCUUGAGUGAAGUAGAGGCAAGCGGAAUUCCUAGUGUAGCGGUGAAAUGCGUAGAUAUUAGGAGGAACACCAGUGGCGAAGGCGGCUUGCUGGGCUUUAACUGGCGCUGAGGCACGAAAGCAUGGGGAGCAAACAGGAUUAGAUACCCUGGUA
rnacentral:rRNA from 1 species